rfam:Oryza brachyantha chromosome 2, whole genome shotgun sequence.
CAGAGUGAUGGAAACCAGGAACUGAUCCAGAUUGACUAGAAAAGGAUGCUGCAAACGGUCUUCCUGUUGAGUCUUGAA